GCAGUCGAGCGGUAGGCCCUUCGGGGUACACGAGCGGCGAAGGGUGAGUAACACGUGGGUGAUCUGCCUCGCACUCUGGGAUAAGCCUGGGAAACUGGGUCUAAUACCGGAUAUGACCACGGAUCGCAUGGUUUGUGGUGGAAAGAUUUAUCGGUGCGAGAUGGGCCCGCGGCCUAUCAGCUUGUUGGUGGGGUAAUGGCCUACCAAGGCGACGACGGGUAGCCGACCUGAGAGGGUGACCGGCCACACUGGGACUGAGACACGGCCCAGACUCCUACGGGAGGCAGCAGUGGGGAAUAUUGCACAAUGGGCGAAAGCCUGAUGCAGCGACGCCGCGUGAGGGAUGACGGCCUUCGGGUUGUAAACCUCUUUCGACAGGGACGAAGCGCAAGUGACGGUACCUGUAGAAGAAGCACCGGCCAACUACGUGCCAGCAGCCGCGGUAAUACGUAGGGUGCGAGCGUUGUCCGGAAUUACUGGGCGUAAAGAGCUUGUAGGCGGUUCGUCGCGUCGAUUGUGAAAACUUGCAGCUCAACUGCAAGCUUGCAGUCGAUACGGGCGGACUAGAGUACUUCAGGGGAGACUGGAAUUCCUGGUGUAGCGGUGAAAUGCGCAGAUAUCAGGAGGAACACCGGUGGCGAGGGCGGGUCUCUGGGAAGUAACUGACGCUGAGAAGCGAAAGCGUGGGUAGCGAACAGGAUUAGAUACCCUGGUAGUCCACGCCGUAAACGGUGGGUACUAGGUGUGGGUUUCCUUCCACGGGAUCCGUGCCGUAGCUAACGCAUUAAGUACCCCGCCUGGGGAGUACGGCCGCAAGGCUAAAACUCAAAGGAAUUGACGGGGGCCCGCACAAGCGGCGGAGCAUGUGGAUUAAUUCGAUGCAACGCGAAGAACCUUACCUGGGUUUGACAUACACCAGAAAGCCGUAGAGAUACGGCCCCCCUUGUGGUUGGUGUACAGGUGGUGCAUGGCUGUCGUCAGCUCGUGUCGUGAGAUGUUGGGUUAAGUCCCGCAACAAGCGCAACCCUUAUCUUAUGUUGCCAGCGCGUAAUGGCGGGGACUCGUGAGAGACUGCCGGGGUCAACUCGGAGGAAGGUGGGGACGACGUCAAGUCAUCAUGCCCCUUAUGUCCAGGGCUUCACACAUGCUACAAUGGCCGGUACAGAGGGCUGCGAUACCGUGAGGUGGAGCGAAUCCCUUAAAGCCGGUCUCAGUUCGGAUCGGGGUCUGCAACUCGACCCCGUGAAGUUGGAGUCGCUAGUAAUCGCAGAUCAGCAACGCUGCGGUGAAUACGUUCCCGGGCCUUGUACACACCGCCCGUCACGUCAUGAAAGUCGGUAACACCCGAAGCC
rnacentral:rRNA from 1 species